rnacentral:rRNA from 1 species
GACGAACGCUGGCGGCGUGCCUAAUACAUGCAAGUAGAACGCUGAAGGAGGAGCUUGCUCUUCUGGAUGAGUUGCGAACGGGUGAGUAACGCGUAGGUAACCUGCCUGGUAGCGGGGGAUAACUAUUGGAAACGAUAGCUAAUACCGCAUAAGAGUAGAUGUUGCAUGACAUUUACUUAAAAGGUGCAAUUGCAUCACUACCAGAUGGACCUGCGUUGUAUUAGCUAGUUGGUGGGGUAACGGCUUACCAAGGCGACGAUACAUAGCCGACCUGAGAGGGUGAUCGGCCAAACUGGGACUGAGACACGGCCCAGACUCCUACGGGAGGCAGCAGUAGGGAAUCUUCGGCAAUGGACGGAAGUCUGACCGAGCAACGCCGCGUGAGUGAAGAAGGUUUUCGGAUCGUAAAGCUCUGUUGUAAGAGAAGAACGAGUGUGAGAGUGGAAAGUUCACACUGUGACGGUAUCUUACCAGAAAGGGACGGCUAACUACGUG